GACGAACGCUGGCGGCGUGCUUAAGACAUGCAAGUCGAACGGAUUGAUUGAUGAGCUUGCUCAUCAUGAUUUCAGUGGCGAACGGGUGAGUAACACGUGGAUAACCUACCCCGCAAACCGGGAUAACACUCCGAAAGGAGUGCUAAUACCGGGUAGUACUUUUCUCCGCAUGGAGGGGAGCGAAAAGGAGCAAUCCGAUGUGGGAUGGGUCCGCGCCCUAUUAGCUAGUUGGUGAGGUAACGGCUCACCAAGGCGACGAUGGGUAGCCGGCCUGAGAGGGUGAACGGCCACACUGGGACUGAGAUACGGCCCAGACUCCUACGGGAGGCAG
rnacentral:rRNA from 1 species